CCCUUAGAUGUUCUGGGCCGCACGCGCGCUACACUGAUUCAUGCAACAAGUUUUGUCCUUGGCUGAUAGGCCUGGGUAAUCUUUGAACGUGAAUCGUGAUGGGGAUAGAUGAUUGCAAUUAUUCAUCUUCAACGAGGAAUUCCUAGUAAACGCAAGUCAUCAGCUUGCAUUGAUUACGUCCCUGCCCUUUGUACACACCGCCCGUCGCACCUACCGAUUGAAUGGUCCGGUGAAAUCUUCGGAUCUGAGAGAUGUCUGAUUAAUUUCGGACGCCUUUUGGAAAAGUCGUUUAAACCUUACCAUUUAGAGGAAGGUGAAGUCGUAACA
rnacentral:rRNA from 1 species